UACGGGGGGAGCAAGCGUUGUUCGGAUUUACGGGGCGUAAAGGGCGCGUAGGCGGCGCAACAAGUCACUUGUGAAAUCUCCGGGCUUAACUCGGAGCGGCCAAGUGAUACUGUCGUGCUAGAGUGCGGAAGGGGCUACUGGAAUUCUCGGUGUAGCGGUGAAAUGCGUAGAUAUCGAGAGGAACACCUGCGGCGAAGGCGGGUAGCUGGGCCGACACUGACGCUGAGGCGCGAAAGCUAGGGGAGCGAACGGG
rnacentral:rRNA from 1 species